UUUUUGUCUUCGUCUGAAAUUAUUGGUCUGUCAGAAAGUAUUCGUAAGAGCCAUAAAGUAUUGGUCUUUGUUUCAUGAAACAUGACUUCCAUCCUAACGUGCAAUUGUUUCUAAUUCUAAAGUGAUUUUCUCUGAUUUUACUUGUUUCUCUGUCGGAUCGAAUGAGAAAAGAUAAAAGGCUCAUGAAAUUGACGUGUGGGGUUAGGAAUGGUUAUAUUCUAUGAGUGAGCUCCAGUCCCUUCGUCUCAUAUUUGAUAUUUUUAUUUUCGUCGACAAGGGAGCCCAAAAAUAACGACGUCGGAGCAACUGAAGCAUAUAAUUGCAACUCUUUUGUGAGCUUCCAUAUGUCCCAGGGUAUGUUAUUCUGCAAUCUUACUACCAUAUCAAAUAUCCUUCUAGUAAUUUUCUGGAAGAAAGUAUAGGGGCUUAUGAGCUACAUCUGACUUUUGUUUCACUUUUUUUUCUUAUUAUAUAUGUAAUUCUGUUGGAAUGCAUGCAAGUCAUAUGUUUUGUUAUGCAUGCAUGAAAUAAAUAUGUUGGAUGACUAGUGAAGUUAGGCUAGUCAACAUUCUUUGUGUAAAUUAGGCAAGUUAGGCAAGUUAGGAAAUUAGGCAAGUUAGGCAAGUUAGGCUUAUGUCUACUUUCUUUUCCUAUAUAUAUGUUUCAUUUGUAAUUGUUUCUUCAUGAAAUACACAUAAAAAAUUCAACAAAUUCAGAUUCUGAGCAUUCAUCAUCAAACACAAGACUUCAAAUUCGAUUUCUUCUUCAACAACAUUGCCUGUAAAAAAAGGGGUGAGUUAUUGAUUUAAACGCCAUUAAGUUGAAUUUGGUUGGAAGUCUAGUCAAUAUUAUUUGGUGUUUUAUUUUAAUAAUUUAAGCAAGCAAACGAGUUAUAUUUAUCGUGUUUUCGUUGUUUUGUCAUAUUCGUCAUUUUAACAGAUAAUAUUGUGUCAAAUAUGUUAUCCUAAUAAAUUCUUCACAAAUGACCCCAAUAACGACUUAAUUCGUUAACGAAUUGUGUCGCCUCACGCAAUGAUGAAGCCAAAAAUUAUCAAGAGGAGGGGCA
rnacentral:lncRNA from 1 species